ensembl:lncRNA
AUCAAAAGAGCUGCACGCCUGGGGUAGGAGAAGCAGUCUGUCAGGCAGGACUGGGAGGGAUGUGUGGCAUAUUACUCCAGACGGCAGGCAGGAAGGGCAGAGGUGGCGCCCACGGUCGUCUGGAAGUCACCAUGAGAAGCAGUCUGCAGAAGAAAACAGCUUCCAUUUGGAUAAAAACAAAUGUCAUUUCUGCCAGUUUGACAUUAAGAUGAACUUGAGGAGCAGACGUGAAGGAGGAGAAGGGUAUGACAGAGGAUGAGAUGACUGGAUGGCAUCACCGACUCAAUGGAUAUGAGUUUGAGCAGGUUCCGGGAGUUGAUGAUGGACAGAUGGACAGGGAAGCCUGGCGUGCUGCAGUCCGUGGGGUCACAAAGAGUUGGACACGACUGAGUGACUGAACUGAACUGAACUGAGUUUUGGAAGAUUAUACUUUUCUAAGAAUUUGUCCAUUUCUUCCAAGUUGUCCAUUUUAUUGGCAUGUAAUUGCUCAUAGCAAUCUCUUAUGAUCCUUGUAUUUCCUGUGUUGUCUGUUGUGAUUUCUCCAUUUUCAUUUCUAAUUUUAUUGAUUUGAUUCUUCUCCAUUUUUUCUUGAUGGGUCUGGCUACCGGUUUGUCUAUAUUAUUUAGCUUCUCAAAGAAUCAGCUUUUAGUUUUACGGAUCUUUAGUCUCCUUCAUUUCUUUUUCAUUUAUUUCUGCUCUAAUUUUUAUGAUUUCUUUCCUUCUACUAACUUUGGGCUUCUUCUGUUCUUUUUCUAGUUGCUUUAGCUGUAAAGUUAGGUUGUUUAUUUGAUGUUUCUCUUGUUUUCUGAGGUAGACUUGUGUUGCUAUGAACCUCCCUCUUAACACUGCUUGUCCUGAAUCCCAUAGGUUUGGGGUUGUUAUGUUUUCAUUUUCAUUAGGUUCUAUGCAUAUUUUGAUUUCUUUUUGAUUUCUUCCAUGAUCUGUUGGUUAUUCAGAAGUGUGUUAUUUAGCCUCUGUAUGUUUGUGUUUUUUAUAGUUGUUUUUUUUCCCCCUGUAGUUGACAUCUAAUCUUACCACAUUGUAAUCAGAAAAGAUGCUUGAAAUUAUUUCAAAUUUUAAAAAAUUUACCAAGGUUAGAUUUAUAGCCCAGGGUAUUUUUUUUAGAAUGACAUUUUGUAAGGAAGCUAUUAAGCCCACUCCUCCAUUUUUUUAGUAAAACAAAGCAUUAGAUUCCCUUUCUGAUUAUAUAAAGAAUGCAUCGUAUUUGUCCUUUUCAACCAAAAAUUCUAACAUAAACUCUGACAUUUAUGUUUCAGAAAUAAAACCUAGUUUUCUUACUCACUAUAGAAAAUACAGGAAGGCGCAGAUUAAAAAAUAAAUCUUAGAAGAUCACUGUAAUGUUUUGCUAAGUAUGGCUUAAUCAAACCAAACUCUAUUGUUGUGUAUUUACAGUUUUUUUAAUCACUGUUGUUGGCAAUGCCUCCCAAGAAAAUUGUAAGAAACAUCUUUGAGGUGAAUUCUUCCCCAUCCAUAGUAAUUCCCUGAGGAUAAUUACUGGAAGUGGAAUUGGAGGCUCAAACAGUAUACACAUAUCUGUACCUUUUGAAAUGAAACAGUCAUUUUGCCCUCAAUUACAAUUGUUACCAGUUUUGAGCACCAUUACAAGUAGAUUAA